rnacentral:lncRNA from 1 species
GGCCGGCCCCGCCCCCCACCUCUUGUAGCUUGUCUGCCAGGUGCGCUGAGGACUCGGGCGGCGCACGAGGCGGCGCGUUCGGGUUUCCACGGUGAAGGGGGCGGAGCCUCUGAGAGAAAGUUUCCACCGAAACUUGGACUGGCGCGCGACCACGGACGCCUAGCCCUUGAGGGUUCGCCUUUCGCCAGAACUUCACCUCUUCACACCCAGCGCCAAAAUGAAUAAGUAAUAAAGCAAUAAAUAACCCCCUGAAGUGGGCAGGGCGGAAUGUGAUCUCAGGACGAGGGGUUGCUGUUUUGCUUUUUAAGCGCAACCUCUGAGUCUCCCGGCUGGUCUGAGAGACUGAGGAACUCGCGGCCCAAGUCUGAGCAGCGCGCAGAGCUGGAGUGCAGGCUUAAUCAGCUGCCUCAGGAGAAGAGACAACUAGAAGCACACAGGACUCUAUUGAGACCCCAGCACACCCACCUCCGGCCAGCGCCCGCACUGCCUGAUCUUUGUUUAUGUGACCCUGCUUGUUGAACAUAGAAAAGGCUGUGUCCAGCAAUUGCACCAAAGGUGUCUGUGGCCCCAUCUGAAGUUUUGGUAGGUUGCACCAGAUAUCUGAGUCUGACUGACAGAUGAAAUGUUGUCGCAUUAGUGCCUCUCCCUCCUUGGAAGAUGGAUCUAUCUUAGUGUACAUACUUGUGUAAUGUAUUAGUACCCUAGUCCAUUACAAAGGAAAGCUGGAUUUUUUCCUGUGCACCCUGAAAGAACCC